UACGUAGGGGGCGAGCGUUGUCCGAAGUUACUGGGCGUAAAGAGCGCGUAGGCGGCUUUCUAAGUCUGGUGUGAAAGGUUCAGGGCUCAACCCGAACAGUGCACUGGAUACUGGGAGGCUUGAGUGCGGCAGAGGGAAGCGGAAUUCCUGGUGUAGCGGUGAAAUGCGUAGAUAUCAGGAGGAACACCGAUGGCGAAGGCAGCUUCCUGGGCCGUUUCUGACGCUGAGGCGCGAAAGCGUGGGGAGCGAACGGG
rnacentral:rRNA from 1 species